UAUUGUUGAUGUUCGGCGAAUAACGCAACGUCCUGUUGCAACGCCGAACUGAAUUACAUCCUGUAAU
rnacentral:sRNA from 1 species